rnacentral:rRNA from 1 species
CAGUCCACGCCGUAAACGAUGGAUACUAGCUGUUCGGACUUCGGUCUGAGUGGCCAAGCGAAAGUGAUAAGUAUCCCACCUGGGGAGUACGUUCGCAAGAAUGAAACUCAAAGGAAUUGACGGGGGCCCGCACAAGCGGUGGAGCAUGUGGUUUAAUUCGAUGAUACGCGAGGAACCUUACCAGGGCUUAAAUGUAGUCUGACAGCUGUAGAGAUACGGUUUUCUUCGGACAGAUUACAAGGUGCUGCAUGGUUGUCGUCAGCUCGUGCCGUGAGGUGUCAGGUUAAGUCCUAUAACGAGCGCAACCCCUGUUGUUAGUUGCCAGCGAGUAAUGUCGGGAACUCUAACAAGACUGCCGGUGCAAACCGCGAGGAAGGUGGGGAUGACGUCAAAUCAUCACGGCCCUUACGUCCUGGGCCACACACGUGCUACAAUGGCAGGUACAGAGGGCAGCCAACCCGCAGGGGGAGCCGAAUCCCAGAAAGUCUGUCCCAGUUCGGAUUGAAGU